UUUAUCACAAAAUUAUUAUCAGUACUACUAGGUAGUAAUUAACCGUGAUUAAUCCUCCACUCUAUAGUCCUAUUCUGAGUCUUCUCCAUUACAGCGCAUUUUGUCGCUAUAAAUUAAUUCUUCCUCUUUGAUCGGACACGACGUUCGUAAAACAAAGAAAGACUUUGAAACAAAAAGCCAAAUACAUACAUGUAAAGUGUUAAAACUGCUCCUUCUAUCAACAAUUAAAUGAAUAGUACACUGGUAAGAAUUCCGCAUAUCUUUUUCUAUUUUUCUCUCAUAAUAAUGUGAACUUUUAUAUGAGAUUUGUCUCGGCAAGUUAUGUCACUAAGGAAAAAAUGUGAAUAUAUAUAGUAGCGUACUAGACUUCACCUACAUAAGUAGAAGCAUUUAAGUAUCACUUGAUAUUUCUUAUUAAUUUUUCAAAUCUCAUGCAUCUUGUUAACUUACUUAGGUACAAUAUUUAUUCAAAAGACACGACAAGUUGAAAGAGUUUCGGUAGUUACAUUUUUUAUAAGAAAGAAAGCUUAGAGUGCCAUUUAAGAUUAGAUAGUUUUCAGAUAUAAAAUAUAACAAUCUUUUUGAGACAGGCUAGUAGUAACAUAAACUCAUGCGGAUGGAGUAUAUCUACAUGUAUAUGUGUGUGUAUAGAGAGAGAAUGAGAACUUGGCAGUACAACAUUACAUACAUUUGUAUGCUUGGCGCCUGCAAAACUGUGGUGCAUUAGUUAAUGUUGGGAAACGUGUCAGGCUAAAAGGAAGGGAAAAAUAUAUUUAAAGAGAAAAACAACAAAUUACACUAGACAAGACAAGACAAAAUUUACGUGGUUCGAUAAUUUUCUAACGCAUUCGGCCACACAAAGAAUAACUCUUUAUUAAUUGAAGAGAGAAAGAAGAAGUUGAGAGAUGAUAUGCAAAUGAAAAUGUAUACCCCUUUUAUAGGCAUUUGAAUGCCCUGCCGAUGUAAGCGCUUACAUCAUAAGAAUGCUGACGUAAGCGCUUACAUCAUAUUUUUAUCUUCUUCUUUUUUUUUACUUUUUUUCCUUUCACAUACAACAACAGGUUUGCUCCUAUCAAUCUCCCCUUCAAACCUAUGUUACGUCAAGAAAGAAAUUAAAAAAAGAUUUGCUAUUCUCUAGUGGCGCCUUUAUACUAUCAGUCCUGAAGGCUAACUGAGGCAGAGCACAUCCUCAGUUUGUCAACACCGACAACUUUGGUUAGCAUGUCUGACGGGUUCUUCGAUCCUGGUAUUUUCUGCAGGGAAAGAGUUCCUUCACUUAUCAACUCUCGGAUAUGAUGAUACCUCAACUGGAUGUGCUUUGAUAUUGC
rnacentral:lncRNA from 1 species